rnacentral:lncRNA from 1 species
ACCAUUCCAGGAUUUUAUUAUUCUAGUCUAGUGUUCCAUCUUACCAGAGAAUGCUGAUAAUCAGGAGCAGCCAUGGCUGUAGUGCCACAGUGCAAGAGCACCUCCUGCAUGUAGGAACUCCAGGGAGACCCCUUGGGAAGACUUUGGCUGCACAGAUCAGUGUCUGGGUUUGAGGGCAGCUCCAGUGGAAAGUACAAGGAAAAGGAAGUUAAAAGGACCAGGAGAUCUCUGCCCUGUCGUUGAUCAUGAGGAGCAGUGUCACACCUGAGGGCAGGUGAGCAGCUUUAUCCAGCACAGCUGACUUUUAACUGAGAUCCUGGGAUUUAUUUUCA